rnacentral:rRNA from 1 species
UACAGAGGCCACGAGCGUUAGGCGGAAUCACUGGGCUUAAAGCGUGUGUAGGUGGAUCGGUAAGUACCUUGUAAAAUCCCACGGCUCAACCGUGGAACUGCUCGGUAUACUGCCAGUCUUGAGGCACUCAGGGGCGAGCGGAACAGAUGGUGGAGCGGUGAAAUGCGUAGAUAUCAUCUGGAACGCCAAUGGUGAAGACAGCUCGCUGGGGGUGUACUGACACUGAGACACGAAAGCCAGGGGAGCGAACGGG